rnacentral:lncRNA from 10 species
ACUUCUGGCUGGGUGUACCGACUGCAUUUUCCUGAUAACUUAAGCUGCUGGCUGGUGAGACAAUCAAAUUCUCCCCACUGAGUGACUUCAUCUACAAGACACAGGAGUAACCACCAGCGAGAGAAGUUCAGUUGUGAAAGGGAAGCAAAGGAAGAUGCUGGGUCCUUAGCGAGGGUGCACAGCCCCUUCCUCCAUUGUUAGCUCUCCAUUCCGUUUUGCCUGAUGCAAGGCACACUUUGUUCCAUAUAUUUAGAUUCCAUAGUUUUCUGAUAAUGGGGACUGAGUAUUUUAAAUACACUUCAGGGGUGGGCGGGGUGGCUCAUGCGUGUAAUCCCGGCACUUUGGGAGGCCAAGGUGGGCGAUUACCUGAGGUCAGGAGUUCGAGACCAGCUUGGCCAACAUGGUGAAACUCUGUCUCUACUAAAAAUACAAAAAUUGGCUGGAUGUGGUGGCUCACACCUGUAGUCCCACCUCCUCGGGAGGCUGAGGCAGGAGAAUUGCUUGAACCCAGGAGGCGGAGGCUGCAGUGAGCCGAGAUCGUGCCACUGCACUCCAGCCAGGGUGACAGAGUGAGACACUGUCUCAAUAAAUACAUAUUUAAAAAUUAAUAAAAAUAAAAAUGAACACACUUUUUAGGUGACUUCUGCAUAUUUAAGUUUCAAACUACUUUUAGAGCAAGCCCAGGAGAGUUUCCUGUUCUUUUGAACAUGAAGAAAGAACCAAGGGCUACAGAAAGCCUCCUUACAGAACCCGAGUCUCAUUAGCUUGUUCUCAUUCAACAAACGCUUAUCCAUCCCUCGUUGCAUGCAAGGCGCUCUGCCCAGCCAAGUAUGUGACUGCAGGCUGACGGGUGGUGAUCGGGAAAGCUGCCCGAAUGAGUAAGAUUCUGACGCUUGUUUGGAGUAGUUUAUCCUCUGUCUACCACCUCCAGAUCACCACAUCUCCAUGACUGGACCCAAAUGAAGUUAUUUCAUAUUUCCAAAAAUAGUUUCAGUUAUUAACACCUUCAGGAGAAUUCAGGGGCUCAUGGUAGAAAUGAAUGAAUCAUGUACAUAACUGAGAAGUAUUUAUACAGAAAGAGUUUUGGUUUUCUGGAAAGGGUAAUUUCAGAUAUUUAGAAGUAAGAGCCAUUACAAUGUUGGUUUUACAAGCCACUGGGCUUUAUAGCAACAUCAGAGUCCUGGUGGGUCAGGAGAAAAGGAGACAGCACUCGUCAGUAGCAGACAAGAGCAACUUAGCAUUCCAUAUAAUCUUGGAGAGAGCUGGUCUAAGUGCCUCAGAUCUAUAGCCAGUUGCCUUGGAAUCUCUGCUGAGUACUUCAUCAAGCACCUGCUGUUUGAAGAGGGAAUAAGCCAGAAUAAAAUUCUCGCUCUUCAGGGUGAUGUUUCUCCUACCAGUUUACUUAAGGCUGUAUGUACGCUGCUUGAACCCUAAAAGCUGGGAAAUGAGCCAAGGCCACGGUGCUCAGCUGAGGAGCAGGUGUCCCUGAGAACCCAAACAUCCUAGAGUGUAUCUGGGAACAUACCAAGGAAAAGAGUCUCAUCACAUGCGGCAGCCAAAGAGCCACAAAAUCAGCUUAAAAGCAGCUUAGAGGCGUGUGGUGGGUGGAUCUCUAGAGUUCUCCUGAUGCUGCCCGAAAAUGUCCUGUUUGUGAAUCCUAAUAAACUCAUCUACUC